CCCCUUCGGGGGUACACGAGUGGCGAACGGGUGAGUAACACGUGGGUGAUCUGCCCUGCACUCUGGGAUAAGCCUGGGAAACUGGGUCUAAUACCGGAUAUGACCUCCUGUCGCAUGGCGGGGGUUGGAAAGGUUUACUGGUGCAGGAUGGGCCCGCGGCCUAUCAGCUUGUUGGUGGGGUAAUGGCCUACCAAGGCGACGACGGGUAGCCGGCCUGAGAGGGCGACCGGCCACACUGGGACUGAGACACGGCCCAAACUCCUACGGGAGGCAGCAGGGGGGAAUAUUGCACAAUGGGCGAAAGCCUGAUGCAGCGACCCCGCGUGAGGGAUGACGGCCUUCGGGUUGUAAACCUCUUUCAGCAGGGACAAAGCGAGAGUGACGGUACCUGCAAAAAAAGCACCGGCCAACUACGUGCCAGCAGCCGCGGUAAUACGUAGGGUGCGAGCGUUGUCCGGAAUUACUGGGCGUAAAGAGCUCGUAGGCGGUUUGUCGCGUCGUCCGUGAAAACUUGGGGCUCAACCCCAAGCUUGCGGGCGAUACGGGCAGACUUGAGUACUGCAGGGGAGACUGGAAUUCCUGGUGUAGCGGUGAAAUGCGCAGAUAUCAGGAGGAACACCGGUGGCGAAGGCGGGUCUCUGGGCAGUAACUGACGCUGAGGAGCGAAAGCGUGGGUAGCGAACAGGAUUAGAUACCCUGGUAGUCCACGCCGUAAACGGUGGGCGCUAGGUGUGGGUUUCCUUCCACGGGAUCCGUGCCGUAGCUAACGCAUUAAGCGCCCCGCCUGGGGAGUACGGCCGCAAGGCUAAAACUCAAAGGAAUUGACGGGGGCCCGCACAAGCGGCGGAGCAUGUGGAUUAAUUCGAUGCAACGCGAAGAACCUUACCUGGGUUUGACAUAUACCGGAAAGCCGUAGAGAUACGGCCCCCCUUGUGGUCGGUAUACAGGUGGUGCAUGGCUGUCGUCAGCUCGUGUCGUGAGAUGUUGGGUUAAGUCCCGCAACGAGCGCAACCCUUGUCCUGUGUUGCCAGCGCGUAAUGGCGGGGACUCGCAGGAGACUGCCGGGGUCAACUCGGAGGAAGGUGGGGACGACGUCAAGUCAUCAUGCCCCUUAUGUCCAGGGCUUCACACAUGCUACAAUGGCCGGUACAGAGGGCUGCGAUACCGUGAGGUGGAGCGAAUCCCUUAAAGCCGGUCUCAGUUCGGAUCGGGGUCUGCAACUCGACCCCGUGAAGUCGGAGUCGCUAGUAAUCGCAGAUCAGCAACGCUGCGGUGAAUACGUUCCCGGGCCUUGUACACACCGCCCGUCACGUCAUGAAAGUCGGUAACACCCGAAGCCGGUGGCCUAACCCUUGUGGAGGGAGCCGUCGAA
rnacentral:rRNA from 2 species